rnacentral:tRNA from 1 species
CUAAGGGUAGUAUAAUUGGCAGUACGUAAGAUUUUGAUUCUUAUGGUGUGGGUUCGAGUCCUGAUUCCUUAGG